rnacentral:misc_RNA from 1 species
AAGUCGUAACAAGGUUUCCGUAGGUGAACCUGCGGAAGGAUCAUUAUUGAAUAAACUUGGUUGGGUUGCUGCUGGCUCUUAGGAGCAUGUGCACGCCUAAUGCCAUUUUUAACCACCUGUGCACCCUUUGUAGAUCUGGAGUACCUCUCGAGGAAACUCGGUUUGAGGAUUGCUGUGUUGAAAAGCCAGCUUUCCUUGCAUUCCAGGUCUAUGUUUUUAUAUAUACCCCACAAGAAUGUAACAGAAUGUUGUCAAUGGGCCUCUUGUGCCUUUAAAACAAAUACAACUUUCAACAACGGA